AAUGGGGACUACUGGAUAAGGCUCCAGGGGCCGGAAGUGGGGGUGGCCUGUCACGUACUGGUAGUGCAAUUGGAGGCUGGGCUUUGUAGAGGUACAACCCUUACAGCCAGUUGCGGUGUGUCUGUGCUGUGGCUUCCAGUGGCCAGAACCUGACUCAGUCACCUGGUUCCUGAGUUGGCCCGACCUGGAAAUAGUGCCUAUUUCCUUCAGACAGGAAAGUGGGGUCUGGGAGGACCGGAAACUGGGGAAAAUCUGAGACCCAGAGGGAGAGGAAUAUUGAUCAGAGCACACCCCGCUAUUCCAGCACGGGUCGAGGAGGGGCAGCAGCUGGUGCCAUGGAUGGAGGGAGAGUGGGCUUGGGAGUCAGGUUAACUGGGUUCACUUGACUUUUUAUGAACCGCAGACCUAGGCCAAGUCACAUCAUUUCCCUGAACUCCAGUUUUCUCAUCUAAAAUGAAGAUGGCACCACGGCCCUUGAAGGGUGAUUGCAGGGCGAGUGAGUGGGUAGGUAAUGGAGUGCCUGGCCCAGAGAUACUCACGAAAUGGCCAUUCUCUCCCACCCUUGCUGCCUGGUGGUGUCCCCAGGCCCUGAAGUUCCUGACGCAGAUCUGGGCCUAGCCUCUUAUCAACCUGCGGCUGGUGAACACAUCUCUGUAUGAGCAUGUGAAGCAGAUGUGCCUCACUGGGAGGAGCCUGGAGCAGCUGAAGUUUCUGGGGGAUUACCUGGGCCUGUGCCGAAGUGGAGCCCUGAUGGAGCUAAGCAAGAGCCCUCUACCCUCGAGACGGACUACUCCGAGUUGGUGACCAGUUACCCCAAGGAGGACUACUCCCCCUUGGGCUCCUUAAGUGGCCACGACCCCCAGGUGGUCUUGCCACGUAGACCCAGAAGGGCAGACGCUCUACACCAGCCACUUCGCCCAAGAGCAGCUCCAGCAGGGCUCCAAGCCAACCCAAGGAACUGCGACACCUGCACCUGUCCCUCCAAGCCCCUUGGGUUAUGUUGGGCUCUGGUUGGAAGGAAUCUUUUCCUCUCCUCUCAUGAGAUGGGCGGGAGCCCUGAUCACCCCUCUCCCCACAGUGGGUGAGCUUGAAGGACCAACACGGAAAGCCCUGCCUCUGCAAACCAUAUGAGGACUGGGUUCAGUGGGAGCUGCUCCAGGUAACCAACUGGGGAAGGGAGAGAGGAGGGGGUUAUAUGACAGUGUCUUUCUCCACAGGACUCCCAUCCCUGCUCCUCGAAGCUUCCACAAGUCUCACAACCAGGACAGUGAGACCCUAGCCCAGGCCAGCCCCCCUGAGAAGGGAAGGGAAGGGGCUUGCAGGCCUUGGCAGGACCUCCCCAGAAGAGAUGGUGUGUUCCUGGAGGUCCUGGGGGCUGAGACUGGGUUGGGCGUGUCUCCCCCCAUAGGCCCAGCACUAGCCUGGGCUGAAUGAACUUGGGUCUGGGUCAUCCCAGGCCCAGAGUUCCGUGAGGUUGGGAGUUGGGAGGAAAUAUCUUCUCUUGCCAUGGGAGCAGGCACCCACCACCAGCAGCAGCAAAGAGGGUUCAGUGGAGACUCAGGCCCAACCUGUGGGGAGCUGCUGGCUGUGACAGACUAGCCUCCGCCCUCCUCCCACCUGUGAUCACCACCUUAAAUGCCUCCUCUUUCCACAUUUCAAGAUCAAGACCUUGGAGAAGGCAGGUGUGCUCCAUUGAACCAAGACAGUGGACAAGGGGAAGCGGCUCGGUGAGAGCGCAUGUGCACCCGACCAGGGUAGCAAGGGCCUUACUGAUGAUGCUCACUGAGCACCUCCCAUUUGCCAGGCCCGUGUGACUCUCAAAGGACUUUAUAAGAGGUCCUUUGAGGGAGGACAGUGAGGCACAGGGAUAAAGUGACUUCCCUGUGGUCCCUUGGUUCCUAGGUGUCAGCAUUGGGAGUCUGCCCCUCACAGUUGAGUGCCCCAAGCUGCAUUCUUAAGCUCUGUUCCCUACUCCUGGGAGUGGGAGGGGGUCCUCAGCCAAGGGCCAAAUACAAGCCUCACCCCCACUAAGCAGCAGCACUGGAGUGCCUCCUGGAUGGUGCUGGAGGGUAGCAUCCUGACAUACUUCAAGGACUCAAGACCUCAGCUGCAGGCGGCCGGAGGCAGUCUUCCAAGCUCUCCAUCCCUAAGUAUGCAGUGGAGCUGAGGGGGGCCUCUCUUGCCUGGGUCCCCAAAGCCAAAUCCAGCAAGAAAAAUGUGCUAGAGGUGAAUGGUAGGGAUAGGGAGGAGAGGGAGCUUACUGCUGGUUUGGGACCCACCCAGACAAGCCCCAAGGUAAGGAGGACUUGGGGAAAAUGGGGGUGAAAUUCUCAGGGCUCAAAGCUGAAGUUGUUCCCACCUGAGGGAUCUGUCCACAGUGUUUCUAAUGUCACAGAUUUUUCAGCCCUCUCUCCAGGAGCUGUGUUCACCAGUCCUUGGCUCUGGAGAGUGGUGAGGAAUAGGGAGUCUCUGGGGGGUAAAACUAUAGAUGCCUAGAAGGGCAGCCCUUAUCCUAGCUGCUCUGGCCUCAGACAGACAGAAGACCCCACAUUCCUGGCUACUUACCCUGACAAGCUGGAAAGCCUCCAGCUGAUUAGAGCCCAGCUUCCAACUAGACUGGUCCUCGUGAAUAAACUGGGGCAGUUGCACAUUUCUCAGGCUCCCCCAGCAGGAAGAGAGAGGCCAGGUGGGGCCAGGAGAGGACCUCACAGUGUUGCCUUGUUUUUAAACUAGUUUUACCCUCACUUCAGUCCCCAGAAGUAUUAGGCAGCUCACAACAAAAACACACAAAAUCUGCUACAAUGCCAGGAUCAGGCCAAAUGAGUUAGAGAACUAGGCCAGUGUGGAGAGGGGCAGAUGAGGUUCAGGUGCUAAGGUUAUUGCUGGAGAAAGUUAGCCCCAGGUUUCCUGAUAACCAAAAUGAAAAAACAAAAAACAACAAAAAAACCUUCCCAGAUUAUGAGGGAAAUCAACGCUUCUCCCUAGUCCUUAGCUCUUGGAGGCGUUUUUAGUGUGCAACUCCUUUCUCAUUCAGUAAGGGACUCUUGGGGCUGCUUCGGGGAACAUGAUGAAAGCCAAAAGCAUGACCUUACAUUUCAGCUCAGAAAAAGCAUUACUGCAAAGAGCUUGAGUAUGUUGUUUUCUGAUGGUCCACCAAGCUUCAUUCAGUUCUAGACCCAGAAUAUCCACAGAGCAGGUUUGGAAAACCAGUUUCAUCUCAUGAACUGCUCUGAUCAGUCCGUCUGGAGCCUUCUGCGGGCUUGGGAGGUUAGAGUGUUACCAUCAACUAGCAGUGUCUGCCAUGGGUGGUCAAAUUGAGGAGGGACAUCACUUCUGCUAGGCAUGUUCCUUUCCUAACCUAGAGGGACAUCUCUCAACCAACGAUCUAUAAAUGUCACCCCUCUGACUGGGCUUCUGAUGAAAGUUCAGAGUAAACACUUCGGAGUUGUCUUUUUUGGCAAGGACAGGAAGGCAGAUGGCGCUCUUGGAAGCUACUCAAGCUGAUGGGAAGUCUGUCAGUCUUGAAUGGAAAUUAAGGAGCCCCCAGCUUCCCAGUUGGCAGAUGGCCAUCCUCCCUCCACUCGGGUGGCCUGCAGUCCUCAGAGCCAGAGGCUGAUGAGAGAUCUAUCCAAGUUUGCUGACCACCUCACCCUGUUCUUCAGAGCCUUUGUUACAACAGUAGCUGGAUGAAGAAUAGCCUGCGCUGUGGGUAUCUACUUGCUCCUUAAUAGUAUAAAAUAGUGGCUUUGGAAACCCAGAUUCCAGGGCUUCUUAAGAAUAUGGCCUGUGGUCUGCAUGGAACCUCCAGCAAAUUUACAGGGCAGUGCUUCCUCCAGCUGACAGACCAUGUGUGUUUCCCAGUGAAUAAGAAUAGGUGCAUUGGUUACCCCCCCCAGCCUGCUGGUCAGAAAGAGCUCUGACUGGUCAGAAAGUGGCCAAAAGUCUCCCCUUGAGUUUUGUUUAAUUUACACUUUAUGAUAAAGUGGACAGUGAGAGGUGCAUUGCCUGGGCUGGAGUGUGGGAGAGGGUGUAGACUUGUGGCUACAAAAGGGGGAAAACACUCCUAGGUUCUCAGAGUGUGUGUGGAAUGCAGGAGGUGCUUGUUUUCUCUGGGAUCAGCCCCAAUAUGCUUUCAAAGCUUUCUGCCCAGCAUUUUCUUCACUGCUAAUUCUAGCCACCGGGGGCCUCCCACCAGGUAUUUCUUCAAUUGGCUGCUUGCCAGUGCUCUGGGUGAGGCCUGCCAUGUUCUGUGGUUCUUGGGGCCGGGGAAAGUGUACUAGACAGCUGGGCCAUUCAUACCUGCUACACUCAGAUCCUUGCUCUCUCACUCACUAGUUGUGUAUCCACUAGCAAGUUACUUAAAUUGGUAACAGGGAUGUCAUCACCUACUUUUUUAUGAGGUGCAAUACCUUGGCCUGGGGUGAGCUCUUGCUCCAUUAGGCUCUGAGUUCCUGGGAACAGGGAGAGAUCACCUCCGUCUCUCUAUUCCCCUUUGAGACCUGGCCCCAGGCCAGACCCAGGUAACCAGAGAUGACUGACUGACUUGUGUCCCUGUAGCUGCGGAGCCAAGAUGGCUCACAGUAUCUGAUCCAGCAUGACUCGGAGGCCAUCAUAAGCACAUGGCCAUUCGCCAGGGCAUCCAGGAGCUGGUAGGCAGAGCUUGGGGUCUCACUGCUGGUGGGGAGGGGAGGCCAGCCAUUAUCAGGGCAGCUGUGCCCACAGUGGAUAGGGCUCUGCACUCAGGCUCCAGGGGUUCCACAGCAGCAGUGGGUAAGUGCCCCUCCCUGCAGACACAAUUCCACCUUGUGGCUGGAUGGCAGAUGGGCUGCUGAAGAAAUAGCCUUUCUUAAGUGUGUGAAUCCAGCCUCUGGGGCUGGCCCUGCAGGAGCUCUUUCCAGGUAGGGGUUGGGGCACAUCCUAGAGGAAUGUCCCAUUUCAAGGGAGGCAGGAGGAAAAGUAAAUAUCUGAAAAAUAGCCUCAGGCUGGAAGGACACACUGGGACUAGAAGAUAAAAUUUUAAAGGAUUGAGUUCAAGAGUCUACCAUUUUUUAGGUUUAAAAUACCAAUUGCUUAAGUAGUAAUAGGAUAGGCCCCCUUCUGAUAGCUAUUCACUUGGUAACAAUCUGGGGCUUUUUGACCCUUAAUCUCCUAGAAGCCAACACUGGAUGCAGUGUUAGGUCAUAUUACUAGAGGUAGGAACUAGAUCCAGGGAGGUGAUGCUGGUGCAGUUCUGGCCAGUGCUCAGAUCACAGCCACAUUAGCAAUGGUUUUUAUUGGGAGGCCUCCCCUGGAGUAUCCCAUGGGUGCCCCAGCAUCACCUCUGUACCCCUAACUAAACCUCCAUUUUCCCUCUCCCUUUUAAAACUGAUCUUUCCAGUGCUUCAUUCUUUAGCAUGGGUGACUAAGCCUACGCUGCUGCCAUGUCCAAUAACGGAAACUUGCCUUUCUCUAUAAUGGGGUUGCAGGCAAGGUCAAUAGGGGGUCUUCCAAAAACAUCUUGGGAAUCACUGCUUUUUGGUGCCAUCUCCAGCUACUCCCUAUCAGCUCUGUGUAUGACAGACCUGGAGCUAUGGCUGGUGCCCCACUGGAGACAGGACACUCUUUGAAAAGACAGCACAGGGGGUCCACAGAGGGACCAACAAAGUGGAACCAAGAACCAGAGAACACAGCCCAAAUCCCUGCUCUACAGCUAUGUAAAAUAGGGAUAUUAACACCUACUUCCCCGGGAUAGUGAGCACAACAGAGGGAGUUACAAAUGUUGGUGCCCUGCAAGCCCCACUUCCUGAACAUGGGCCGCUGCUGGCCUCUACUGGCUAUUGAAUGACUGCACAGUGAGCUGACCUCCAGGCGGGGAUGUGCAAGUUUUUCUCCACUUCUGAAUCUACCUGAUGCUGGGGCUCUCGUGACAGACCCAUAGCUCCCUUUGCACAAAAUAUAUUCUGUGUAAUGAUAGUAAUUUGGAAAGAUUUUAAGCACCUUAUUGAGGUAUUGACAUACAUAUAUAUCCAUGAAACCAUCAUCACAAUCAGAUAGUGAACAUCUCCUGCACCCCCAAAAGUUGCCUUUGUGCCUGCCCCCUUGGGACUCCCUCCCUCCGCCCUUUCCUGUUCCUCCAUGCCCAAGCAAAUAUUGACCUACUUUCUGUCAUUGUAGAUUAGUUAACAUUGUCCAGAGCUCUCUGUAAAUGGAAUCAUACAACAUAUACUCUUGUUUGGCUUUUUUCACUCAACAUAACUUUUGAGAUUUAUGCAUGUUGUGUGUACCAAUACUUCUUUCCUUUUUAUUGCCCAUUUGUGAAUGUACCA